CCUAGCGGUUAGAAUCGUAAGAAAACCUUGCGAUUGAGAUACAGGUAAAAGAAAAGUGGACUAACGGAGGCUGGAGGACAAUGCUAUGGAGGUGUGUGUGUGCAAGGGGUUUGGAAUAAAGAUCCUAGGGGUCGAAACAGCUUAAUUCCAGUAUUUACGUUGUUAGUUUGUUUAUGGUUUAAUCCUUAGCUGGUUAAAUGUUUUAAUCCAGUAAAACUAUGCACUAUUCAGUUUGUUCAGUUUAGGACGCAUGUAGGUUAAUGUUAGAUUGUUUUUCAUGUAUCUAGAACCUAUGUCUGUGAGUUGUGGUA